rnacentral:rRNA from 1 species
UGCAAGUCGAACGAGUUCUCGUUGAUGAUCGGUGCUUGCACCGAGAUUCAACAUGGAACGAGUGGCGGACGGGUGAGUAACACGUGGGUAACCUGCCCUUAAGUGGGGGAUAACAUUUGGAAACAGAUGCUAAUACCGCAUAGAUCCAAGAACCGCAUGGUUCUUGGCUGAAAGAUGGCGUAAGCUAUCGCUUUUGGAUGGACCCGCGGCGUAUUAGCUAGUUGGUGAGGUAAUGGCUCACCAAGGCGAUGAUACGUAGCCGAACUGAGAGGUUGAUCGGCCACAUUGGGACUGAGACACGGCCCAAACUCCUACGGGAGGCAGCAGUAGGGAAUCUUCCACAAUGGACGCAAGUCUGAUGGAGCAACGCCGCGUGAGUGAAGAAGGCUUUCGGGUCGUAAAACUCUGUUGUUGGAGAAGAAUGGUCGGCAGAGUAACUGUUGUCGGCGUGACGGUAUCCAACCAGAAAGCCACGGCUAACUACGUGCCAGCAGCCGCGGUAAUACGUAGGUGGCAAGCGUUAUCCGGAUUUAUUGGGCGUAAAGCGAGCGCAGGCGGUUUUUUAAGUCUGAUGUGAAAGCCCUCGGCUUAACCGAGGAAGCGCAUCGGAAACUGGGAAACUUGAGUGCAGAAGAGGACAGUGGAACUCCAUGUGUAGCGGUGAAAUGCGUAGAUAUAUGGAAGAACACCAGUGGCGAAAGGCGGCUGUCUGGUCUGUAACUGACGCUGAGGCUCGAAAGCAUGGGUAGCGAACAGGAUUAGAUACCCUGGUAGUCCAUGCCGUAAACGAUGAAUGCUAGGUGUUGGAGGGUUUCCGCUCUUCAGUGCCGCAGCUAACGCAUUAAGCAUUCCGCCUGGGGAGUACGACCGCAAGGUUGAAACUCAAAGGAAUUGACGGGGGCCCGCACAAGCGGUGGAGCAUGUGGUUUAAUUCGAAGCAACGCGAAGAACCUUACCAGGUCUUGACAUCUUUUGAUCACCUGAGAGAUCAGGUUUCCCCUUCGGGGGCAAAAUGACAGGUGGUGCAUGGUUGUCGUCAGCUCGUGUCGUGAGAUGUUGGGUUAAGUCCCGCAACGAGCGCAACCCUUAUGACUAGUUGCCAGCAUUUAGUUGGGCACUCUAGUAAGACUGCCGGUGACAAACCGGAGGAAGGUGGGGAUGACGUCAAAUCAUCAUGCCCCUUAUGACCUGGGCUACACACGUGCUACAAUGGAUGGUACAACGAGUUGCGAGACCGCGAGGUCAAGCUAAUCUCUUAAAGCCAUUCUCAGUUCGGACUGUAGGCUGCAACUCGCCUACACGAAGUCGGAAUCGCUAGUAAUCGCGGAUCAGCACGCCGCGGUGAAUACGUUCCCGGGCCUUGUACACACCGCCCGUCACACCAUGAGAGUUUGUAACACCCGAAGCCGGUGGCGUAACCCUUUUAGGGAGCGAG